UACGUAGGGUGCGAGCGUUAAUCGGAAUUACUGGGCGUAAAGGGCGCGUAGGCGGCCUGCUAAGUCGAACGUGAAAUCCCCGGGCUCAACCCGGGAACUGCGUCCGAUACUGGCUGGCUUGAAUCCGGGAGAGGGAUGCGGAAUUCCAGGUGUAGCGGUGAAAUGCGUAGAUAUCUGGAGGAACACCGGUGGUGAAGGCGGCAUCCUGGACCGGCAUUGACGCUGAGGCGCGAAAGCCAGGGGAGCAAACCGG
rnacentral:rRNA from 1 species